AAAAUCUUCCGCAUUGAGCUUGUUGUUGAGCCUGUAUUAAAGGUCCGAAAUGUCACCGGUGCUUCUCCAAAGCCAUAUGUCACAAUACUUAAAAAUAAAGGGCAGCUGCAAUGUGAAGUUCCAGGUGCUUAUUUUGAACCUACAGUUCAGUGGUGGGACAGUGAUAACAAAACUCUUCCUUCUAAGACGCUAAAGGACCAAAAAGAAAAUGGUCUCUUCUACGUCAUCAUCCAAAGUACUUCCCCUAAGCCUGACUGCUAUCGCUGUGUAACCACACAGAUGGACAUCUGGCAUCGGAUUUCUUCAGAGAUCUGUGUGC